UACGGGGGGGGCAAGCGUUGUUCGGAAUUACUGGGCGUAAAGGGCUCGUAGGCGGCCAACUAAGUCAGACGUGAAAUCCCUCGGCUUAACCGGGGAACUGCGUCUGAUACUGGAUGGCUUGAGGUUGGGAGAGGGAUGGCGGAAUUCUAGGUGUAGCGGUGAAAUGCGUAGAUAUCUGGAGGAACACCGGUGGCGAAGGGCGGCAUCCUG
rnacentral:rRNA from 1 species